UAGAAGAAGCAUGCCUUGUUCAACCUGCAAUCUCCUAGAAGAAGCAUGAACACAGAGAAGACAUUUGCUUCACAUGGAAUCAAGGAAAGGUAACAUGUCACCAUGCUUCACAUCAUGUUGACAAGUUCAUUAAAGUCAAGCUCCAUUGCAGUUGGUCAACUAGUGAUUUUAAUUACCUGCAAAAGUGUUUUUGCUGUGAUUCUUAAUCAUAGUGUCUCAAUUAUUUGUCAUCACCAUUAGUUUUGUAUACUGAUGAUCAUAUACUGUCCAAAUAUUUUUUUUCUUGAUUGAUAAUUUUAUUAAAAUCAAUAAAAGUAUUUCUGUGAGUCCAUGAAGUCCACUGAAUGAACACUAAUACCAACAAAUACAUCAUGGAGAGGUUGAGACUACUUUAAAGAUGUUAAAUUGAUGUAGGCCCAACCCCUUGUUUAUUGUUAGCACAUGUGCAAUCUACCAAUCAUUUAUAUGUAUCUACUGAGCCCAUGAAAGAUGGAAUGAGCUGCCACAUGUGUAUGACAUAAUUGAAUUGCUAAUUAAUAUCACAGCAUGGAAAAGGUGGCUUUGUCCUAAUAAGUUUCACUUGCUAUCAUGAUCACCACAGAAACAAGAUUUGAUCUAAACAAAGAUACCUGUCUCUACUCUGUGAGUUCUAUGUUGGAAGUUGUAUUUGGUUGUCAAGCAAUGAAAGAGUACUUGAGCAUCUUAUUUUUAAGAUGCAGAGAAGAAAAUUACUGAUACAACUUCAAAAUAAUGACUGAAAAGCUACAAUUAACUCAUUAAUCAGCAAGUUCGAACAGAGUAUAAGAGUUUGACAAAUAUUUCACAAAUAAAGACUAGGAUGAAAAAAAUUGGUGAAUAUUUUUACCCCAAACUCUCUAUGAACAAAAGGAAGAAGAAUGAUGUCAAAAAGUGAAAUAUUUUCAUUGUAUUCAACCUCUGAAUGUGUGUAAGACAAUCUUGUGUGUUAAUGCACUAAAAUUGUACAAAGUUCCCACUCAACACAAUUACACUUAAAAAUGAUAAUACAGUUUUCCACAAUUAAAAUGGUAUCAUUAUGUUCUACUUGCAACAAACAUUAGUAUUCAGCAUCUCAAACAGAAAUUUAUAGCUUCCCUAUAUCAUAUCAGGUAAUUUUGACAAAUAUUGGGUCUUCUUUGAUUAAAACAUAUGAUCCAUUUAAUGGUUCCUCUGACCAGAGGGCGGGAAGUGAAGAUCUGAAGAUAAUAUCUCCCUGUAAUCUUUGCGUACCGUCCAUAAGAUUUCUGCACACCUCCGCAUGCUGGGCCGGCUCUUCUUGGUCGGAGCCAAGCACAACAAGGCAAGUUCAAGGAUCUUUUCGACU
rnacentral:lncRNA from 1 species